rnacentral:rRNA from 1 species
CCUACGGGUGGCAGCAGUCGAGAAUCAUUCACAAUGGGGGAAACCCUGAUGGUGCGACGCCGCGUGGGGGAAUGAAGGUCUUCGGAUUGUAAACCCCUGUCAUGUGGGAGCAAAUUAAAAAGAUAGUACCACAAGAGGAAGAGACGGCUAACUCUGUGCCAGCAGCCGCGGUAAUACAGAGGUCUCAAGCGUUGUUCGGAAUCACUGGGCGUAAAGCGUGCGUAGGCUGUUGCGUAAGUCGUGUGUGAAAGGCGCGGGCUCAACCCGCGGACGGCACAUGAUACUGGGAGACUAGAGUAAGGGAGGGGGAACCGGAAUUCUCGGUGUAGCAGUGAAAUGCGUAGAUAUCGAGAGGAACACUCGUGGCGAAGGCGGGUUCCUGGACAUUCACUGACGCUGAGGCACGAAGGCCAGGGGAGCGAAAGGGAUUAGAUACCCGUGUAGUC